GACGAACGCUGGCGGCAGGCUUAACACAUGCAAGUCGAACGCCCCGCAAGGGGAGUGGCAGACGGGUGAGUAACGCGUGGGAACGUGCCCUUCGCUUCGGAUUAGCCCCGGGAAACUGGGAGUAAUACCGGAUACGCCGUAUUGGGAAAGAUUUAUCGGCGAAGGAUCGGCCCGCGUUGGAUUAGGUAGUUGGCGGUGUAAUGGACCACCAAGCCUACGAUCCAUAGCUGGUCUGAGAGGAUGAUCAGCCACACUGGGACUGAGACACGGCCCAGACUCCUACGGGAGGCAGCAGUGGGGAAUCUUGGACAAUGGGCGCAAGCCUGAUCCAGCCAUGCCGCGUGAGUGAAGAAGGCCUUAGGGUUGUAAAACUCUUUCGCCGGAGAAGAUAAUGACGGUAUCCGGAGAAGGAGCCCCGGCUAACUUCGUGCCAGCCGCCGCGGUAA
rnacentral:rRNA from 1 species